GAUGAAGAACGUAGCGAAAUGCGAUAAGUAAUGUGAAUUGCAGAAUUCAGUGAAUCAUCGAAUCUUUGAACGCACAUUGCGCCCGCCAGUAUUCUGGCGGGCAUGCCUGUUCGAGCGUCAUUACAACCCUCAGGCCCCCGGGCCUGGCGUUGGGGAUCGGCGGAGCCCCCCGUGGGCACACGCCGUCCCCCAAAUACAGUGGCGGUCCCGCCGCAGCUUCCAUCGCGUAGUAGCUAACACCUCGCGACUGGAGAGCGGCGCGGCCACGCCGUAAAACACCCAACUCUUCUGAAGUUGACCUCGAAUCAGGUAUGAAUACCCGCUGAACUUAAGCAUAUCAAUAAGCGGAGGA
rnacentral:misc_RNA from 1 species